AACUGUAUACUUUCAGGGAUCAUUCCAUAGGUUGUUACUAGAGAAGUUUUUUUUAGAUGUGUAGAACACUGGAAACCACGAGGAGGAGGCGCAGCAUUCUCUCUUGACCGUGAAGCCGGCUCUUGGUGUUGUUUCACUGCAACUGUCAUUUGCCAUUGAUGAUCGUUCUCUUCCUCUGGGAGAGUAAGAGGGAGAGGACACAGUUUGAGUGGU
ensembl:snoRNA U3 Small nucleolar RNA U3